CAGAGGUGGCAAGCGUUGUUCGGAAUUACUGGGCGUAAAGGGCGCGUAGGCGGUCUUGUAAGUCUUGUGUGAAAUCCCUCGGCUUAACUGAGGAACUGCACGGGAUACUGCGGGACUUGAGAUCGGGAGAGGGAAGCGGAAUUCCGGGUGUAGCGGUGAAAUGCGUAGAUAUCCGGAGGAACACCGGUGGCGAAGGCGGCUUCCUGGACCGACACUGACGCUGAGGCGCGAAAGCUAGGGGAGCAAACGGGAUUAGAUACCCCGGUAGUCCUAGCUGUAAACGAUGAGUGCUGGGUGUAGGGGGUAUUAACCCUCCUGUGCCGAAGCUAACGCAUUAAGCACUCCGCCUGGGGAGUACGGUCGCAAGGCUG
rnacentral:rRNA from 1 species